rnacentral:rRNA from 1 species
CAGCAGCCGCGGGAAUACGAAGGGGGCUAGCGUUGCUCGGAAUUACUGGGCGUAAAGGGAGCGUAGGCGGGUCGUUUAGUCAGAGGUGAAAUCCCGGGGCUCAACCUCGGAACUGCCUUUGAUACUGGCGACCUUGAGUAUGGGAGAGGUAAGUGGAACUCCGAGUGUAGAGGUGAAAUUCGUAGAUAUUCGGAAGAACACCAGUGGCGAAGGCGACUUACUGGCCCAUUACUGACGCUGAGGCUCGAAAGCGUGGGGAGCAAACAGGAUUAGAUACCCCGGUAGUCCCUGUCUCUUAUAC